GGAACUCUAACUUCUGCUACUACUUGUUUGACAGGACCUGAUGGUGAUGCCACAUUAUGUCGAGGUUUAGUUUUUGGUGUAGAUUCUAUCAUUGGUAGCUGUUGGCAUGGAUUGAUACACAAGAAAUAAGGAAUUAAGGGUUGCUUUUGAAGUUUUUGCAUUGACAUUGCUGGAGCUAUUUCCUUCUCCACCAAGCAUGAAAAGAUCAGACCCAUCAUCAUUAAUCGAUGCCAGGAGAAGAGGCUGUUGGAGGACAGAGAGAUGAACAAUAUUGGUGAACAUAAGGCUGCAAAUAAGGGUGCUUUAAGAUUUCGGAUGCCUGUGAGAUACAUAAAAUGAAAAUUUUCAGAUGCUGCCUACCGGAAACCAAUGGCAUUC